rnacentral:snoRNA from 1 species
GGCCUCACUUCUAUGGGGUUGUGGGGGUAGGAGAAGGGGAGGAUCCCUUUUCUCCUCAGUCAAGGCUGGAGGACAAAAUAAGCCCUCAAGGAUCACUGUCAGGACUGACACAAGCUGGGAAGCCUUGUUUCCCUAUCUCAAGACAUCU